AGCGUACACGGUGGAUGCCCUGGCAGUCAGAGGCGAUGAAGGACGUGCUAAUCUGCGAAAAGCGUCGGUAAGGUGAUAUGAACCGUUAUAACCGGCGAUGUCCGAAUGGGGAAACCCAGUGUGAUUCGUCACACUAUCGUUAACUGAAUACAUAGGUUAACGAGGCGAACCGGGGGAACUGAAACAUCUAAGUACCCCGAGGAAAAGAAAUCAACCGAGAUUCCCCCAGUAGCGGCGAGCGAACGGGGAGCAGCCCAGAGUCUGAAUCAGCUUGUGUGUUAGUGGAACGGUCUGGAAAGUCCGACGGUACAGGGUGAUAGUCCCGUACACCAAAAUGCACAGGUUGUGAACUCGAAGAGUAGGGCGGGACACGUGGUAUCCUGUCUGAAUAUGGGGGGACCAUCCUCCAAGGCUAAAUACUCCUGACUGACCGAUAGUGAACCAGUACCGUGAGGGAAAGGCGAAAAGAACCCCGGCGAGGGGAGUGAAAAAGAACCUGAAACCGUGUACGUACAAGCAGUGGGAGCACCUUCGGGUGUGACUGCGUACCUUUUGUAUAAUGGGUCAGCGACUUAUAUUCUGUAGCAAGGUUAACCGUAUAGGGGAGCCGCAGGGAAACCGAGUCUUAACUGGGCGUUAAGUUGCAGGGUAUAGACCCGAAACCCGGUGAUCUAGCCAUGGGCAGGUUGAAGGUUGGGUAACACUAACUGGAGGACCGAACCGACUAAUGUUGAAAAAUUAGCGGAUGACUUGUGGCUGGGGGUGAAAGGCCAAUCAAACCGGGAGAUAGCUGGUUCUCCCCGAAAGCUAUUUAGGUAGCGCCUCGUGAACUCAUCUUCGGGGGUAGAGCACUGUUUCGGCUAGGGGGUCAUCCCGACUUACCAACCCGAUGCAAACUACGAAUACCGAAGAAUGUUAUCACGGGAGACACACGGCGGGUGCUAACGUCCGUCGUGAAGAGGGAAACAACCCAGACCGCCAGCUAAGGUCCCAAAGUCAUGGUUAAGUGGGAAACGAUGUGGGAAGGCACAGACAGCCAGGAUGUUGGCUUAGAAGCAGCCAUCAUUUAAAGAAAGCGUAAUAGCUCACUGGUCGAGUCGGCCUGCGCGGAAGAUGUAACGGGGCUAAACCAUGCACCGAAGCUGCGGCAGCGACACUAUGUGUUGUUGGGUAGGGGAGCGUUCUGUAAGCCUGCGAAGGUGACCUGUGAGGGUUGCUGGAGGUAUCAGAAGUGCGAAUGCUGACAUAAGUAACGAUAAAGCGGGUGAAAAGCCCGCUCGCCGGAAGACCAAGGGUUCCUGUCCAACGUUAAUCGGGGCAGGGUGAGUCGACCCCUAAGGCGAGGCCGAAAGGCGUAGUCGAUGGGAAACAGGUUAAUAUUCCUGUACUUGGUGUUACUGCGAAGGGGGGACGGAGAAGGCUAUGUUAGCCGGGCGACGGUUGUCCCGGUUUAAGCAUGUAGGCUGGUUGUCCAGGCAAAUCCGGAUAAUCAAGGCUGAGGUGUGAUGACGAGGCACUACGGUGCUGAAGUAACAAAUGCCCUGCUUCCAGGAAAAGCCUCUAAGCAUCAGGUAACAUCAAAUCGUACCCCAAACCGACACAGGUGGUCAGGUAGAGAAUACCAAGGCGCUUGAGAGAACUCGGGUGAAGGAACUAGGCAAAAUGGUGCCGUAACUUCGGGAGAAGGCACGCUGGUGUGUAGGUGAAGUCCCUGCGGAUGGAGCUGAGACCAGUCGAAGAUACCAGCUGGCUGCAACUGUUUAUUAAAAACACAGCACUGUGCAAACACGAAAGUGGACGUAUACGGUGUGACGCCUGCCCGGUGCCGGAAGGUUAAUUGAUGGGGUUAUCCGUAAGGAGAAGCUCUUGAUCGAAGCCCCGGUAAACGGCGGCCGUAACUAUAACGGUCCUAAGGUAGCGAAAUUCCUUGUCGGGUAAGUUCCGACCUGCACGAAUGGCGUAAUGAUGGCCAGGCUGUCUCCACCCGAGACUCAGUGAAAUUGAACUCGCUGUGAAGAUGCAGUGUACCCGCGGCAAGACGGAAAGACCCCGUGAACCUUUACUAUAGCUUGACACUGAACAUUGAGCCUUGAUGUGUAGGAUAGGUGGGAGGCUUUGAAGCGUGGACGCCAGUCUGCGUGGAGCCAACCUUGAAAUACCACCCUUUAAUGUUUGAUGUUCUAACGUUGGCCCCUGACCGGGGUUGCGGACAGUGUCUGGUGGGUAGUUUGACUGGGGCGGUCUCCUCCCAAAGCGUAACGGAGGAGCACGAAGGUUAGCUAAUCCUGGUCGGACAUCAGGAGGUUAGUGCAAUGGCAUAAGCUAGCUUGACUGCGAGCGUGACGGCGCGAGCAGGUGCGAAAGCAGGUCAUAGUGAUCCGGUGGUUCUGAAUGGAAGGGCCAUCGCUCAACGGAUAAAAGGUACUCCGGGGAUAACAGGCUGAUACCGCCCAAGAGUUCAUAUCGACGGCGGUGUUUGGCACCUCGAUGUCGGCUCAUCACAUCCUGGGGCUGAAGUAGGUCCCAAGGGUAUGGCUGUUCGCCAUUUAAAGUGGUACGCGAGCUGGGUUUAGAACGUCGUGAGACAGUUCGGUCCCUAUCUGCCGUGGGCGCUGGAGAAUUGAGGGGGGCUGCUCCUAGUACGAGAGGACCGGAGUGGACGCAUCACUGGUGUUCGGGUUGUCAUGCCAAUGGCACUGCCCGGUAGCUAAAUGCGGAAGAGAUAAGUGCUGAAAGCAUCUAAGCACGAAACUUGCCCCGAGAUGAGUUCU
rnacentral:rRNA from 1 species